UACGAAGGGGGCUAGCGUUGUUCGGAAUCACUGGGCGUAAAGCGCACGCAGGCGGAUUGAUAAGUCAGGGGUGAAAUCCCGGGGCUCAACCUCGGAAUUGCCUUUGAUACUGUCUAUCUUGAGUUCGGGAGAGGUUGGCGGAAUUCCUAGUGUAGAGGUGAAAUUCGUAGAUAUUAGGAAGAACACCAGUGGCGAAGGCGGCCAACUGGCCCGAUACUGACGCUCAUGUGCGAAAGCGUGGGGAGCAAACAGG
rnacentral:rRNA from 1 species